rnacentral:rRNA from 1 species
AACGAACGCUGGCGGCAUGCCUAACACAUGCAAGUCGAACGAGACCUUCGGGUCUAGUGGCGCACGGGUGCGUAACGCGUGGGAAUCUGCCCUUGGGUUCGGAAUAACUCAGAGAAAUUUGAGCUAAUACCGGAUGAUGACGAAAGUCCAAAGAUUUAUCGCCCAGGGAUGAGCCCGCGUAAGAUUAGCUUGGUGGUGGGGUAAUGGCCUACCAAGGCGACGAUCUUUAGCUGGUCUGAGAGGAUGAUCAGCCACACUGGGACUGAGACACGGCCCAGACUCCUACGGGAGGCAGCAGUGGGGAAUAUUGGACAAUGGGCGAAAGCCUGAUCCAGCAAUGCCGCGUGAGUGAUGAAGGCCUUAGGGUUGUAAAGCUCUUUUACCAGGGAUGAUAAUGACAGUACCUGGAGAAUAAGCUCCGGCUAACUCCGUGCCAGCAGCCGCCGUAAGAC